rnacentral:rRNA from 1 species
GGGGAAUAUUGCACAAUGGGGGAAACCCUGAUGCAGCAGCGCCGCGUGAGCGAUGAAGGCCUUCGGGUUGUAAAGCUCUGUCUUCUCUGACGAUAAUGACGGUAAGAGAGGAGGAAGCCACGGCUAACUACGUGCCAGCAGCCGCGGUAAUACGUAGGUGGCAAGCGUUGUCCGGAAUUAUUGGGCGUAAAGGAUGCGUAGGCGGUCUUUUAAGUGGGAUGUGAAAUACCCGGGCUUAACCUGGGAAUGGCAUUCCAAACUGGAAGACUAGAGUGCAGGAGAGGAAAGUGGAAUUCCCAGUGUAGCGGUGAAAUGCGUAGAGAUUGGGAGGAACACCAGUGGCGAAGGCGGCUUUCUGGACGGUAACUGACGCUGAGGCGCGAAAGCGUGGGGAGCAAAC